AUGAAACCUACUGGUCAACUAGGGGCGACGCCCUUACACACUGUCUCAGAGCUGAUAGAUGACUAUACUGGGAACUGGAAUGUCAGUUUGGUACGCCAAAACUUUCUUCACCCAGACGCGGAGGCGAUCCUUAAUAUCCCCUUGAACAGAUCAGGCGGGGAAGAUAGUUUGGCGUGGUCUCUGGAAAAGUCGGGUAACUAUACUGUAAAAUCAGCGUAUCGCUCUCUCAUGACUCGAAACGAGCUUAGUUCUCUAGAGGAAGGGACGAGGACGAACACUUCAUCAGCAAAUAAACAGUUAUGGACCGCACUUUGGAAAUUGCGGGUGGUGCCGAAGGUUAAGGUUUUC
rnacentral:rRNA from 1 species